GUUUGACGGAUAAAAUGGUUCUUACCAUUCUCUAUAUAAGCCCCUCUGUCUGUUAACUUUUGUUUGAGCCUGUCUAGAUCUUUUAUCAGUCUAGAAAGAUGUUGGAGAAAAGACAUCAUCCUCUUCUAUAAUCUCCAUCUGUAAUUGGACUAACAACUGGACCAGUGAAUGCAGGUCACACCAUGGUCUCAAGAGGGAAAAUGAGUGCUCUAUGGAUUGAACAGAAAAGGUGAAUCAAAACUCCAACCAUCUGUAUGAGGGGCUGGAUGGAUAAAGGAUGCCCACUGGAGCUGGAAAUGAUGGAUCAGGUGGAUCCACACUUGAACCAUCUGUAUGAUGAUCUGCACCCACUGGAUCUGUAAAUGGUGGUGCAGAAUUCUGGCCUGGUGUUUGGUCCCCCCUUUCUCUGGCUUGUGUCUCCAUCAUCAUUACACUCUUGUCAGUGUAAUUGUAUCAUCGUCUGCG